UAAUCCGCAGUUAUUCCGCAAAUUUUUUGUAGUGUAAAUAAGAAUAUUGUUUUAAAUAUUUUAUCAAUCAGGAAAUUCUGGCAAUCACCCAACGAUUCUAGUGAAAGGUUUUAAUAACCAGUCAAUGCACCCUGGAAUUUAUCCAACCACACUCUACAUAAGAGCCUCAAAUGACGACCACCAUCAAGGAAGAAAUUCAACGCUUUACCAUCAGGCAUCAAGCUAGAUGAAAUCAAUAUCGCCAUGGCAACUUUUGGAUAGGGAGUUUAAUGAAAAGUGCACUGGGUCUUAUGCAUACGGUUGUAAAAAUCUAUCGUUUUGAAAAUUAUUCUUCUUUGAGCUAUUGUUUGGUGAGAUGAAAUUUCAGGGUGUACGCGCAUACCAUCCCAAAAAAAUGAAGUUCAUUCUGGUAUGAAGUUGGCCAUCAAGGAUCUUUUAAUUAUCAAUUAUCAAUAAUUAAGUUUAUAUUUAUUAUACUGAGAGUCCUAUGAUUAAGAAUAAACUCAUAAGAUGCCCAGACUGUGGUAGUGGUAGGGGUAUGUCCCAACUAUGGCCGGUAGAGGUUUCUAACACAAAUGACCAUUACCUUUCUGAGUCCCAAGGCUUGUGCACGUGUUAACGAGCAAUACAUUUAUAAACACACAGUACACAACAUCAACACGUGGUUAUAUUUAAAAUUAUUCGGAUAGCAGUUCAUGUGAAACAUUGGAGAUUAAUUUUUGUUUUUGCGACGAUCAAGACUAAUGCUAGAAUCUGCAAAUCGCAAGUGGAAAUAAAUUAAUUUAAUUUUAAUUAAGUCUACUGAGUUUAUAUGACAGAAAAAUAUUUGAAUAUUUUUUUAACUGUAUAAAAAUAUAUAUAUUAUUUUAAUUUAAUUAUGGUGUUUGAUAAAAUCUUUAUUAAUUGUAUUUAAUGGCUUUCUUCAGUCAUUUUAUCGCCUGCCUAAUGUAUAUAUUAUGAAAUUAUUUUUUAGUUACGCCAAAGAAGUCUUACUUCUAUACAUAAGUACCCGCACCUACUUUUAUUUGAAUGUUAAUUAACUUCAGGGAUUGAUGAAAAACGAAAUGUCGAACAGUGAGAUCCCAGCCAAACGAAGACGUUUAAAUAGCUCGGCUCCAAAAUCCGAUAAGAAUUUAUUGGACAGGACGAAUCGAUCAGAUGCUAAUAAAAUUGAAAAUACACCACUUCACACCGCCGUUAUUAAUAAAAACAUAGAGUUGAUUGAAACAAUUCUGAGUUCUGGAGUCGAUAUUGAUGCACCUGUUAAAGAAAAUAACACAGCUCUGCACUUGGCUGUUUAUAUGAAGAAUUUGCCAGUUAUCAAGUGUCUGCUAGAGCAUGGGGCCAAUAUAUUAGCCUUGAAUAAGUCUGAUGACCGAUCUGUACCUUGGGAAACUCCAUUACAUAUUGCAGUGAAAGAAAAUCGUCUGGACAUUGUCAAAUUACUCUUGACAACUCAGUGACACAAAAACUCAUAGACAAGGGUUACAAUCAAGUUUUGAUUGAUUUAAUGUUCGGAAAAUCUUGGAAUUUAAAUAUACUCAAUAGUGAUGGACAUACGCCACUAUCUGUAGCAGUUCAAAAUCAAAAUGUUGAUAUGGUCAAGUAUCUACUGGAUCACGGAGUUGAUAUUAAUGCGAAAAAUUAUAUAGAAAAUCGUUAUGUUUGGACUGCAUUGCAUAUUGCAGUUGAAAUCAAUGACGCAAAUAUGGUACAAUUUUUAUUGGACUACGAAAAUUGUGAUAUUGUUGCUAAAACGGAGUCUAACUUGACACCGCUCUACAUUGCAACUUACAGUAAUAAUUUAGCAAUAAUUAAAAAACUGCUUAGAAAAAUCGCACAGCAUAAUGUGUAUAGUAGAAAUAUAAUUGAUCAUGUGUUACCAUCUUUUCAUGAGGCUGUUAAUAGAAAUAAGAUAUUGAUAGCGAAAUAUUAUCUAGAUACUGUUAAGAUUGACGUUAAUCUUAAAACGGAAAUUGGUUUAAGUCCACUAGAAAUCGCUGCAAAAUUUCAAAACUUUGAAAUAUUUAAAUUAUUAGUGGACCAUGGAGCCGUCAUUAAAUAUUCAUUAAAAGAUAGAUAUGAAAGUGGAUUCGAUGGAGAUUCUCUUUUGUAUUAUGCGGUAAAAAAGGCAGAUGUUAAGAUGGUAGAUUUGAUUUUAACCAGAGGUGUUCAAAUUAACGCUCGCAAUAAGAAAGCAAAUGGAGUAACGAUACUACACCUGGCUAUUCAUUCUGGAAAUAAAGAUAUUGUUGAAAAAUUAAUAAAGUGCGGGGCAAAUGUAAACAGUAAGUGUGGAAUUGAUGAUUUUGAAGAAAUAACGCCGCUACUUUAUGCUGUUUUUCGAAAAUCAUAUAAAAUUGUUUUACUGUUGUUAAAGACAGAGGCUAAUUUAAAUGAUGUGGCCAAAAUAAAUUCUAAAACAAAGUCUAUUAUUGACAUCGUUAUUGAAGAAAAAUAUAAUUAUAUUUUUUUGAUGACGAUAUUAAAUUUAGGAGCUGAUAUUAAUAAAUCCAGCAUUCAUAAUCGUAAAUUAGUGAUACGGAUUUCAAAUGUACUUGAGCAACAUUUAAUUAGAUUAAAAGCUGCUGAAUUAUUUAUUCAUAAGAAAUUUAACAGUUGGGUCGCUCUCGGAAUGAAGAACAGAAAAUUUUACGAUAGAUGUAGAAGAGAAGUUGAAAAAUUGAAACUAAAAUUAAUUAGUGACAGUACUUUUUGUUACCAUGAUUUGCUGAUUAAGAAUACCACUCAGGUGGCAAUGCUUGCAAACAAUAAAAAUAUUGAGAAGGCUCUGAAGUUUAAUGAACUCAAGGCCGAAUUCCCGGUGUACGCAGAAAUUUUGUUUUGCCAUUUUAGAAGAGGACAGAGGCGUAAUCAGUUAUUGAAGAAGACUGAAAAAAUUCUAGAUUGUAUUUUUAUCAACUUACCUAGGGUCUGUGUGCCAAAAAUUCUAGCGUAUUUCAAUGAUGAAGAUUUAUUGUGACUUAUGCAAUUCAGCACAUAUUGUUCGACUGAAUAUUGUGUGAUAGAGGAAGAAACAAGACAAUUUCAGACCAGGGUGAAAGAGGCUGAUAUCUUUAACUGCUCGCCAUCGACAGUCGAUAAUUUCGUCGUAUUAGUGAUAAAAAUAAAAUAAAAUAUCCCUUACAUUGAAUGAGAAAGUUGGCAACUAGUCAAUAAAUUAGCGAACGAUAAAAAAACCAAUUCUCUGCAUUAGUUAUAUAAAAAAAGAGUUGUAUUAUUUAUUAAAAGAUGUCGUGUAAACAAACACGUCUAAUUGAUAAAAUAAUUCUGUAUACAAACUUAUCAAUUUAGACCAUCAAUAACUGUAAUUUAUUGCUCGUUUAUAAGACUGAUAACAGAACAAUGUUACUAUUAAUUGGAUAUAAAAAUUUUUCUAAAUGAUCACCAAAUAAUGUAACCAUGCCAUUGUUUACUUAAAAUGAUUAAAACAU